rnacentral:rRNA from 1 species
CGGAACGUGCCUAGUAGUGGGGGAUAACUACUCGAAAGAGUAGCUAAUACCGCAUGAGAUCUACGGAUGAAAGCAGGGGACCUUCGGGCCUUGUGCUACUAGAGCGGCUGAUGGCAGAUUAGGUAGUUGGUGGGGUAAAGGCUUACCAAGCCUGCGAUCUGUAGCUGGUCUGAGAGGACGACCAGCCACACUGGGACUGAGACACGGCCCAGACUCCUACGGGAGGCAGCAGUGGGGAAUUUUGGACAAUGGGCGAAAGCCUGAUCCAGCAAUGCCGCGUGCAGGAUAAAGGCCCUCGGGUUGUAAACUGCUUUUGUACGGAACGAAAAGCCUGGGGCUAAUAUCCCCGGGUCAUGACGGUACCGUAAGAAUAAGCACCGGCUAACUACGUGCCAGCAGCCGCGGUAAUACGUAGGGUGCAAGCGUUAAUCGGAAUUACUGGGCGUAAAGCGUGCGCAGGCGGUUUUGUAAGACAGUGGUGAAAUCCCCGGGCUCAACCUGGGAACUGCCAUUGUGACUGCAAGGCUAGAGUGCGGCAGAGGGGGAUGGAAUUCCGCGU